rnacentral:lncRNA from 1 species
GAGAAGAAACGGCGGAGACCUGAGACCCGGAGGCUGAGGCUGUAGGUGGGCUCCGCUGGGUAAAAGUUGCCGCAGCAGCUGUCCCUUGGCCCCAUCGCGAUUUAUUUUUCCCCCUUGCUUUCCGGGUCCCGGGAUCCCAAGUUUGUAACUAACGGGAGCGAAUCCACACCCGAGCAAAAUGUUUGCGAGUUUCAGGCGCCCUUAGUUGAAAGGCUGUAAUUAACAAGUCCGCUGUUUGCCAGCCAGGCGCCGUUGCAGGCGCUUUCUGUGGAUUGUCAUUUAUUUCUCACAGCAACCCUAGGAGAUGAAAUUGAAUCAUGGAAGAAUGCCUUUAUCUGAGGAGUCAUCACCACUAGGGAGCUAUGGAGGCUGUUAUCCUUGACAUCUGCAGCAGCCCUUCCAAGCUGUGGAGACCAGGUCAUCUGGAAUGCCCAUUUAUGUCAAUGGAAGAAAGAAAAAGGGGUCUCCUCCCAUCCUCACCACUGCAUUCUCCCACCAACCCUGCUCCUGUCCCACUUCCCACAACUCAGUUGUUGACAAUUUAACAGUGGGUUUCUGGAAACAGUGCUGCCUCCUUGAUGGUCUAACUAACUACCAGAGUUAUUCUAACAGCAGGAAUUUCAAGCCAGGUAAGGGGAGCUAUGUCAGGCUGCCAGAUGGUGGGGAAGACAGGUGUGGGUGAGCUGGCUUCAGACUAAAGGAAGAGGAGAUCAAGUGUUGGAAUCACAUUUGAGAAAAGGAGUCAAGUGAACUUCAUUACCCAUUAUAGAGGCCUGUUAUAUCCUUUAGUGCUAUUUGGACUUGGAUUGAACCUGUGACAAAUCCUUUUCUUAUGCUUCUUCCAUCCCUGCUUCCAUGUUAUAUCCUUUCCCCUUCUAAAAUGGUAAUAAUGAGAAAUAACUAUUACUAAUUACCCUAGAACAUAAAUUUCAUUUAAGGUGUCACAAUCAGAUUAUCAUCUUCAGUUUUUCAGAGCCGCAAACUUCCCAUGGUUAUAUGCAGGUAGUACUAAAUGGAUGGAUCUGGGAUCAAACUCAGGGCUUUCUGACUUUAAAAGUCUUGUUCUGCUACCCUCCAAGUGGCCUAGGGUGAUUUGCCCUAAACGGUUCACCUCUGUAUGAUGAUGCAUCCAUGCAGUGGGGCUUAUGGAAAGUGAAUGUGGAGCCUCAGGGCCUUAAUCUUGAAGCAGGCUCUCUAGAAGGGAGCUUGCAGAAGGAGUGGGGACUCGAUGAGAUGCUGUUUUCUCAUUGUGUUUCAGUGAUGACUGAAAAUUUGUUGCCAGCGUCUAUCUGGAAACAAUGUUUUGAUGAUCCACCACCCCAUCCCUCCAAACCACUUUCUUGCACAUACUCCAGAAUAAUAGACAGAAGAAUUUAAUACAUGUGAUGCUUUGCCUUCCAUUUACACUAUCAUAAAUUACAAAGUAUUGUUCACUUCACAAAAUAAAACCAUUUCCAGAUAAUUUUUUGACAGUAUCAAGAAGUACAUAAACUACAACAAACAAAUCUGUACAGUUGGGAGGAGGGAUAAUAGCAGGGAAGAGGUCAAACCUCCCUGUGCCAAUGGAGUCCAUCUGCAUAGCCCUUGGGACUGUCCAGGUCAACAGUCACACAAUGAUGCUCCACGUAAAAUAGUCAUUCUCUUCUGCUCACUCCAAAGCAAGACUGGUGAGUUUACACAAAUCAUCUCAAUCAAAGGAAAAGACAUUGCAGUUGGAUUUUUUAAAAAUCUAGAUUUACAGUUUUUGAUGUUUUAAAUAUUUCACCUAUGUUACAAAAUAUAGAAAUCUUGGUGUGAAAGGCUCAUGCUAAGAUAAAUAUAACCAAGUGACUGGAACUGUAGUAAUAAAAUCAUAUUAUCCACACAGAGCUACUUUUGUCAAGGAGGAACAAAUAUUUGGUAAAAACCAACCUUAUUCUCACUUUAAAAAAUAGGUUUGUAAAACAAGAAUGAAAAACGUUGACAGUUAUUCUGCAGAUUCGCUUUUCACCAAUACAGAAAUGUGGCAAAAAUACAAUUUGAUAUUAACAGAUGAAUUCAGAGGGCUUGGCCAGGAAGAAAAGAGGGUAAGUGCUAACUUUUUACACAGACCAGAUACAUCCAGUGUUCUCAAAUAAUUUCAGGUAAAAUGACCGCAUUCUGUAUCUUCUGGGAUACACACUCAUGAUACGAAAAGACUAUGACCAAUUCCAAAGCAUACUUUGGGAAUUCACAAAAUUUGUAUGCAUAGAAAGUGUGUGGACAUUUCAGACCAUCCUACAAUUGCUAUAAAUACAUACCAUACAAUAGAAGAAUGCCAAUGCUUAAGAGCAAAAACUAUCCAAAGCAGGAACACAAGGGGCAGGUGAAAUUUCAUUAAAAAGCACUGAGGAGGACAGAGGUAUGUCAAGAUAAUACUGCAUUUGUGGUCAGCUUUUUCAGGGUGUCACAGCAAAAUGAGGGACAAGGUACACAGGGUAAUAACCAAUGCACUGCAUUGAGUUCUAUUUGCUAAAAAUAACAACAUUCUCGUGGGUAAAAUAAAAAUACAUUUUACGAUACACGUUUCAUUUAACAGAAUUGUCUUCUUUUUGUAAGUGGAAAAUGUAUAACUGUAUCAAGUACCUGUAUGAAUUAAGUUCCCUUUUAUUACCAAUAAGACUGAAGUUUAAAGGUCUACAUUGUUUUUUAAUAAAUUAAAGAUGUAUUAAUCACUCUUCCAGCAAACCAGACAUACAUAGGAGGCACAGCAAAAGACCCAAGGUGAGGGGCUUCCCUCACCUUCACCCUUGUUCUCACGUGGAGGUGGCGCAUGUCUAUGAGACACAGUACCCCACUCAGCGAUCCUCUGCAGUCCAGGAAAUUCUAGCACUUGCUUGGAAAACAAAUCAAGUGGUAAGAAAUGUUUUUAUUCCUUUAGCUGUGUCAACUUGGAUGGUGCUGGGGCCAUUCAGCUCAUUUCCCUGAUGGAUUAGAAUAAAACGUCUUCGUUUUCUAUUAAAAUCUGCACAAUCAGCUUUUGGUACCGCAUAUCAUGCAGGGUGGUCAGGGUGCUGUCCUCAGGGGGCCUCAUCAGAGUGGGCCCAAACACGAUCCCCAGAUUUUCUGCAUUCAUGAAAUUGUCUUUUUCAUUCAUAGUAACCCUGCAAAACAAACAUAUAGAACAGAGACAUUAUGGAGACUUGAGGAUUGAUUUUAUGUAUUGAUUAUGUAUGUAAGUCCCGAUAACAUCUCUGGUUCAGGAAAUUGCAAGAAAAAGAUUGGGAAUCAGAACAGCAGAAAGGUAUUUUUGGAAGGGUAAUUUACUGAUUUUUCGUUUUAAAUUGUUGACAUUGCCUUCGCCGGUGGAAAUGAAUUACUUAUGUGAAUCUGGCAGGAACACAAUUUUUAAAAUUAGAAAAUUAGUCCUCCUUAUUAAGUAAAUGUGGAACUAUCAUUUGAGGAAUACUGGUUUGUAGGGGCAGCAGAUUCUGAGGCUGGCCCAUGGUCCUUUCAUAGGCCUUAUACAGAAGGCGUUUUUUUUUUCCCUCUUGUGGCUUCCUGCUGGUCUGUAUGCUGGAGAGUGGGAAGGGAAGGGCAGGAUCCCUCUCUGCUGGGAGGACCGGUGCCAGAGGAGAAAGGUUAUGUGUAGAAUGGGCUGUCAUGAAUUGAGGAAGAGUCAGGCCGUUAUCGUGGGGUGGGGGAACGGCUGGAAUGUCGCCAGACUGGACGGCAGUUGGACAUUAUUUCUAGUUCCCACAGGAUGAGGUCUACAGCAGUUGAAAUUAAAAAUCAUUUCGACAUCCAGGUAAGAACUGCAGAGCCUUUAAGAAUAAAAUUCAAACUGCAAAGCUGGUUUAACACCUUCCUCAUGGAAUAAAAUUACAAUCUAUCUAUCUCCCAGAGUUUUGUUUUCACAACUUUAAGUUUUAGAAUGUUCAUAAUAGAUGUAAAAGGGAAUGGGUUCUCCAAAAAUGAGCAAAAUAUAAUUAAAAUGUGUUUAGGAAAAUAUAAUUAAAAUGUGUUUAGGUUGUGCAUAAAAAGCCAUCCCUUUCUAUUUCCUUAUAACUCAUUAGGAUUAGCCAUUGAGUAUUAUUUUAAGGUCAACCCAGUUUGUGUCAUGUACAUGCCACAAAGCCUAAGAAGAAGGUUGGAAAGAGGACGUUUCUCACCAUCAAAGUGCCCACAGUUUCCUCUUAAGUCAGGCACUAUGCCUGACUAAACAAGAUGGCUGGCAAACCCACUAUGAUAAAGAUACAGUAUUAUUGGCAUUUAAGGUUCAGCUGAAAGGUGUCAGCAUUUUUCUGGUAGUGGUACUUUGCCUUCCAAACUGUAACAACUGGAUAUUGAUCACAAUAAGUAUUUUACAGCUAAUUGAAAGCCAGAUGUGAUACCCAUAGUUUAUUAUCUAAAAAUUACUUGCACUCCUAAAUUCAGUAAAUUAAUCAGAAUGGGAAUAUUCUGAGCUAAAUGUUACCAUCACCCUGAAUCUGAGCAACAAUAUUGUAUGUCUUCUUGUAUGUCUUAUAAGGUAGAAAAAUAAAAAUCUCAAUACCUACUGUUUAUACAGUCCUCCGUUUGCUUCUUUUCACAUACUAAGUAGAUCUGUAAACUGGUCAAUGUAGACAAUUUUCGGUUCAUUUUAUUUUUAUCAAAGAAUGGGCUGCUGCCAAGUAUCUUUCAAAAACACAGAGGCACACAGAUGUGCCCUGAUCCCUCCAAUGUUAUAACACCAAUUCAUCGACCUCAUUACACAUGUGCAGUGAAAGAGAGAGACACAAGGUUUAGGGAGAAUAGUGUCACCAGAGGUUCUAGUGUCCCAUAAACAUCCAGACGUCUCCAUCUCUGUCUCCCACACACUCACGCAGACAGCUGUGUGUGUGGCAGGUACUCUCUGAGAUGGACCUCAGCGAUCCAUGCCUCCUGGAAUUCAUACCCUGCAUCCCUUCCCCUAAAGUAUGGGAUGGACUUGAUUUGCUUCUAACAGAUAAAACACGGUAAAAGCAAUAGGAUGUCACUUCUGAGAUUAGCUUACAAAAAGACUGUCUCUCAUAUUGGGUGCUCUUGCUUUUUUGUUCUGAGAGAAGCCUGUUGGCUUUUUGUGAGCUGCCUAUGGAGAAAUGCACAUGGCAAGGAACUGAGGGUUGCCUCCAGCAAACUGCUGGUGAGGGAGUGAGGCCUUCAGUCCAACAGCCUUUAAGGAACUGAAUCCUGCCAACAACCAUGUGAGUGGGCUUGGAGAUGGAUGCUACCACCAUCAAGCCUUCAGGAGUGAAUUUUUUUGUUCUUGAGACAGCGUCUCAUUCUGUUGCCCAGGAUGGAGUACAGUGGUGCCAUCUUCGCUCACUGCAGCCUUCGUCUCCCGGGUUCAAGCAAUUCUCCUGUCUCAGCCUCCCAAGUAGCUGGGAUUACAGACCCAUCAAGCCUUCAGAUAAGACUGCAGCCUCAUUACAGACCUUGAACUGGAGGCAGCCAGCUGAGUCACACCUGGAUUCCUGACCCUUAGAAACUAUGAGAUAAUAAAUGUUUACAGUUUUAAGCCA